rnacentral:rRNA from 1 species
ACUCAAAUGAAUUGACGGGGGCCCGCACAAGCGGAGGAACAUGUGGUUUAAUUCGAUGAUACGCGAGGAACCUUACCCGGGCUUGAAAGUUAGUGACCACUGCCGAAAGGCGGUUUCCCUUCGGGGCACAAAACUAGGUGCUGCAUGGUUGUCGUCAGCUCGUGCCGUGAGGUGUCGGGUUAAGUCCCAUAACGAGCGCAACCCUUACCGUCAGUUGCCAGCGGAUAAUGCCGGGCACUCUGGCGGGACUGCCGGUGUAAACCGAGAGGAAGGUGGGGAUGACGUCAAAUCAGCACGGCCCUUACGUCCGGGGCGACACACGUGUUACAAUGGUCGGCACAGAGGGUAGCUACCCAGCAAUGGGGUGCCAAUCUCGAAAGCCGAUCUCAGUUCGGAUCGGAGGCUGAAACUCGCCUCCGUGAAGUUGGAUUCGCUAGUAAUCGCGCAUCAGCCAUGGCGCGGUGAAUACGUUCCCGGGCCUUGUACACACCGCCCGU